rnacentral:rRNA from 1 species
UACGAAGGGGGCUAGCGUUGCUCGGAAUUACUGGGCGUAAAGCGCGCGCAGGUGGCUUGUUAAGUUGGGGGUGAAAGCCCGGAGCUCAACUCCGGAAUUGCCUUCAAAACUGGCAAGCUAGAGUACGGCAGAGGAGAGUGGAGUUCCCAGUGUAGAGGUGAAAUUCGUAGAUAUUGGGAAGAAUACCAGUGGCGAAGGCGGCUCUCUGGUCCGUUACUGACACUGAGGCGCGAAAGCGUGGGGAGCAAACAGG